AAACCCAUCUAUGAAAAGCCCACCGUGAAUAUCAUUCUAAAUGGGGAAAAAUUGAGAGCAUUUCCCUUAAGGUUAGGAACACGGCAGGGAUGUCCACUAUCACC